GCCUAGUUCGUCUUUACUAUAAGAUGUUUCUCAAGCCUAAAACGGAGGCAGGCUGGUUCAUCACCAGAAACAUGGAAAAUAUUUUGACUAGAGAUAUUGGUUUGUGUCCUUGGUUUUAAAUCUUUCUUCUUUUGCACAGAGAAUUAAUGAGCAGAGCUGCCUGGAAGCUACUUGUGAUCAGAUACUUCCCUGAUCUUUGGAUGUGUUGUGCUGAAACCUGUCUAGUCACCAGGAUGGAGAGAUGAAGAGAUGAUGAUAAGUGAGAUAAAUCGUGACAGUUUCUGGACCACAUGAAAUAGCAAGAAGAAAUGACUCGGAUGUGAUCCAUGGUGGUGGCAGGGAAUCACCUAAGUGCAAGCCAGGUUCCAAGUGACCAGUGGGAAAGACCUGAAGUGUGGCCACACCUCUUCCUUGCAUACUCCAGCCCAGAGACAUGUGGCCUGGGCAGAGGCGCUGUCUCUGGUCCAGCCCGGGGAAGGCAGAAGAACACUUUCUUUCAGUUUCUGGAAAAGAUGCUCUGGCCUCUAAUUCUUCACCUACCUGAAGUAGGAUCAGAAGAGAUCAGGAAGGAGAGAGAAAGAGCGAGGGACUCAGUUCAGAAGCCAGCAUAAGCCUCCGGUCUUCUCUGCUUUCCGGUUGGGUUCUCUUCUGGAUGGGUGUGUGGCAGAGCGGCAGGUGUAAGGCCUGGCUCGGUCUCAGCAUCACUUUCUUCAAAGUUCUCUUGGAUUUUUUUUUUUUUUUUGGCCUUUACCCUCAGAAAAUUAAAAUGUUCUCAUUAAAUCACGAUGAUCCAUCCACCCUUCCAUCUAGCCACUUGUCUAAUUAAUCACCUGCCUAUCUAUCCAUCUGCCCAGCUAUUAAACAGUUACUUAGCACUUACCCACUCAGAAAAUCACUCACCGUAUCAGGUGUUGGAGGAGACUGAAGGAUGACUCAG
rnacentral:lncRNA from 1 species